UACGAGGGGGGCAAGCGUUGUUCGGAAUUAUUGGGCGUAAAGGGCGCGUAGGCGGUUUGACAAGUCUGAUGUGAAAUCUAUGGGCUCAACCCAUAGCCUGCAUUAGAAACUGUCGGGCUUGAGUAUGGGAGAGGUGAGUGGAAUUUCCGGUGUAGCGGUGAAAUGCGUAGAUAUCGGAAGGAACACCAGUGGCGAAGGCGACCACCUGGACUGAUACUGACACUGAGGUGCGAAAGCGUGGGGAGCAAACAGG
rnacentral:rRNA from 1 species